rnacentral:sRNA from 1 species
UCCAAAAGCCUCUGUAUCCUCAUUAUGGC